CCUACGGGAGUCAGCAGUGAGGAAUAUUGGUCAAUGGACGAGAGUCUGAACCAGCCAAGUCGCGUGAAGGAUGACUGCCCUAUGGUUUGUAAACUUCUUUUAUCUGGGAAUAAAAUGUCCCACGUGUGGGAUUUUGUAUGUACCAUAUGAAUAAGGAUCGGCUAACUCCGUGCCAGCAGCCGCGGUAAUACGGAGGAUCCGCACGUUAUCCGGAUUUAUUGGGUUUAAAGGGUGUGUUGGCGGAUUAUUAAGUCAGUUGUGAAAGUUGGCGGCUGAACCGUAACAUUGCAGUUGAAACUGGCAGUCGUGAGUGCAGUAGAGGUGUGCGGAAUUCGUGGUGUAGCGGUGAAAUGCUUAGAUAUCACGAAGAACUCCGAUUGCGAAGGCAGCAUACUGGCCUGCGACUGACACUGAGGCACGAAAGUGUGGGUAUCAAACAGGAUUAGAUACCCGGGUAGUC
rnacentral:rRNA from 1 species